UGCAUACUGUGCUAUGUUUUUUACGCACAUAGAAUAUCUGUAUGUCUUAUUAUAGCCUCUAAUUAAAAGUUACUGAUUCACUAGGAAAAUCCACUGAAGGAAUCGGCCCCCUUUCUCCAGGAGGUACAUAUCUAGUGCUGGGCAGGCUUUUUUUAGCAAUUGAAACUUCUAAUUUUAACCUCUACACUUGUGAAGCCUAUUUCGAGUGGUCAUCCUACAAUGAGCCUGAAAAACAACCGCACAUAUCAUGACUCCAAGAUGAUAUAUCCUGACCUGGACGUUGCAUAAGAAAAAGGAAAUGUAACCACCUUUUUUUCUUAGCUUAUGAGAGAAGACAGUUAUAGUAGUAGCAUUCAGGUUUCAUCAGUGUGCAGUCAAAAAAAGCAGUCACAAGCACAUGACGACCCUACAUCAUGUUUCCACCAUUUUCUAAGUAAGAAAACAAAUUUCUACUGUUUUAUCAUUGGUUAUCGUCCGUGCAAUUUUACUAGUUUCCUUGGUCUGAAAGCCUUACCAUCAUUUUCUUGUUGCACGCGGUAAUGGCAAGAGCAUAUUGUGCAGAGGAAGAGGAUGAGAAGAAACUUGUGGUUCUCAUCCAAUCUUCAUGGAACUCUCUUUAUGUGCGAUUGUGCAUUGUUGGGUCCUUUUUUCGUGCGCUUGCAUUUGUAGAAGUAUUCUGUUGUGCACAUGUAAAAUUAUUUUGAUGUGCCCUUGUUAGACGUUGUUGAAACUUAAUGCAUGGAGUUGGUGGAUGAUGUAUUGUAUUUGAUGUGAUAUGCUAUGAAAUGAAAUAUACAUUUUAUUUGCAAUCUUUUAUUCUGUUGUAUUUA
rnacentral:lncRNA from 1 species